rnacentral:lncRNA from 1 species
CUUUCUGUUUUUCUUUUAUUGCAUAAUGGGCAUACUUACAUAUGUAAAGGAAAUAUUAAUAAAUUGAAUUUUAAAAUCCCCCCAACAGUGAGAUUCUGUCCUGCUAAGUUAGGCUCAAGAAACAGGAAAUCCACUUGUUUGUAAGCAUGCCAUGAACAGAAGUUGCAGCCUAUGAGGGCACAUUAUUCAAUACUAGUAAUUUAAGCUUUUAUAGAAAAGGUGGCAGUUUAGUAGCAGGCAGAAAUUAGAGCCAGGACCCAGCCUUCCAGGUCCCCACAUCUGUGUGUAGAAUGCAUGAUGGGCUGUCAGAGGAAUCAAGGCUGAGAUUUUCUCCAAUCCAGCCUGGCCCUUUGCUUAGACACUUAAUCUCAGUGAGUGUGGAUUUAUUUUUUCCUGAUAAUUCCACUGUAAGUUUCUAGGAGAGAUUACACAAAGGGAAAUUUGCAUAAAGUGAUGUCAGGAUUUUCCCUUGUCCCUGGUCCUAGGAAGGAUGGCACUCAGGUUGAAGUGAAAAGCUGAUCCCUCCAGUGAGCUGGCUGGCAUCUGAGCAGAGGGGACCGAAGUGUUAAAGGUUCUUGAAGUGGGCAUGAAAAAGUUCUCAAACUGAAAAAUGGUACCUUUGUCUCUUUUGUUAGCUUGAAAUUCUUGGCAUGUUCAUUAGUCUAUAAAAAGGGCCUCGCCAAUGUCAUAAGGCAAGUUCUAAAAGCCUCAGGCUUUUAAACUUGAAGUAGUACAGUGAAGGACAGACCUCACACAGAAUGUUCACCAUGUAUCACAAAAAGUGACAAAAGUUGAUUAAUUACUUAUAUUAAAACUAAUUUGCAGUGAUGAGUUUUUUUUUUUUUUUUUUUGGUUUUUGGUUUUUGUUUUUUUUUUGUUUGUUUGUUUUUUUUGUUUUUUUUUUUUUUUUGGUAAACUUUAUUCCCCAAGGACUAUAAACAUCUGAGGUUCACUUACCUAAUUAAGAUUUCCUUCUUGACAGAGGUGCUUAAAGAAUUCAGCAAAAAUAAGUUACAUGUUUGAAUUGAUAUCUAAAAUUAC